AGACCCAAAGAAGACAGACCCGGCUGAGGAAUGUGGGAAGAGUCCGGCAGGCCUGUGGGGGGGGGUGGAAUGGGGUGGAGGGAGACAUGGGCGGCCUAAGUCAAGGCUGGAGAUCUGGAGAGAGAACUCCCAGUUCCAUGCGGUAGGGUAGGGCUGAGACUCUUUGUUCCUGAGCAUUUUAUCUCAAGGGCCUCAUCUCACCCCUCCAGUCACCUCCACAUUGUCAUCUCUUCCUCAGGGAGAAUGAAUCGGCCUAGAAACACACCGGAUGUGUGUAAAAUGACGGGCCUCACAACGUGCAGCCUUUAAGCCCCUCCCCGUUCUUAUCCUUAACGGCUCACACCUGAAUAAGCCCACAAGCAAGGACCGGGCUUCUUCUUCAUUGUCUGAGGGAAGGAGAGUCCUAGAGCCCCUCCCAGGGUGAACCUUCACCACAGCCCCCAACCACAGUGGAAAUCCACAUUAUUCUCCAUCCUGGCUCCCAAGCCAUCUGGGAGCUGCUGACCUCAGAGACUGACAUUAGAUAAACAAGCAAACCUUUCAUGCUCUCUUGGGUCAUGAGUGGUGCCAUCCAUCCUGAUGUUUGAGUGAAACCUUUGGUGAGAUAGUUUCAGCUUUUGCAGGUGACUGCACCAACAAGCAAGCUGUGCGUUCUGUGGAGGAGUCAGGAAGGCUUCCGGGAGAAGGAAAAGGAGCUGAAAGGAGAGACGGGCCUGAGAGACCUCAAAAGAAGAAAUGCAGAAGUUGGCCUGUGUUGGGAUUUGGCCUUGACUACCUCAAGCCCCAAGGCGAAAUCCUUCUCUGAAUCAGCUCAGACCUAAGUCCCCCACUGGGACUGACAAAGGCUCCAGUGUAAGAGCUGGUCCCCAGCUUGAGCUGUCAUUGUGGAAGAUGAUGCAAACUUUAGGAGGUGGCCCCAGCUGGUGGAAGUAGGUCACCGGUGCGGUGCGUCAUCUCGUCAUCUUGGGGCUGUAUCCAGCCCUAGCCCCUUCCUGCCUCUCUGCUUCCUGUCUGUGAUGAGAUAUUUGUCACAGUAACAAAACAAAACAAAACUACAAUGAAACAAAUGAGCAAACACAAAGGACCACUGCACACAAUAAAGAAAUACAUUAUGCAUUCAGGCCUCCCAGCUGGAAGCCUGGUGCCUGCUCCUUCCUCUCAGCCGCACACUGGGACAAUGACUGCACCCCGCUGACCUCACCUUGUGUGUUCUUCACACUUUCACUUCCGCUCUGCUCUCCCGCUCCGGAGUCCCUCCCAGAUCCCCAGGGAACCUCUACCUCCAGCUUGCUGCCGGUUCCCUGCCCUCAGUCCCUUGUAUCAGCUACCUCGUCGUAUCUUUUCAAGGGUCUCAGCGUAGAACACAUAGCCUCGAGUCACCCGGCUGCCCUUUUCUGGAGCAGGGACCUUGGGUUAUCACGGUUCCCUCCCUUCACUUCGACAAGGGUUUCAGUCCCUCCUUCUCUUGGAAGGCUUGUCUCGCCCUCCAGCUGAAGCUUUCUCAGAGUCCCUGUCAGCUUUGGUCCAUGGGUCUGACCUCUUCAGGGUGGUAGCCAUAACCUGUUGAGCUGGCCCUCUGGGUUUCAUUCAAACCCCUCCCCUCCCGGGCUCUCCCUCACUGUCUCCUCCCACCGUUCUUUCAGUGAGGUCACCUUCUCGUGACCCUAUGGGCUACUAUUUUACCUGCUGAUGACCCCUGCUGCAGAGUUCCCCCAGGCUGCAGCCUCAGACUCUACAGGUCCCUCUCCCUGCACUGCCUGCUCCUCCCAUCCCCCACCCACCGCCCCAGCAUGUCAAUGUAUCUCAUUCCACUCCCAAGGGAAUUCCUCGAACAAGACAGGCCAGGCCAACACCCUUCAUAAAUGGUUACCCUUUGCCUGCUGGAAUACUUGGAAAAUGUUCACUUGUUUGUUCUUUGAAAUCUUUUGUGAGUUUCCACUCUCAGUGACUCUAUCCCUCACAGCUACCAUAUACACAAAACAGCACAGACACUCACUGGAAACUUCCAGGCCUUGCACUGACUUGGCCUGCCUGAGAUGGCAGUAUGGUUACUAAGUGAUGGAUGGGAUUGUGAUCUUAAACAAGUCUCUAGCCGGGCAGUGGUGGCGCACGCCUUUAGCCCCAGCACUUGGGAGGCAGAGGCAGACGGAUUUCUGAGUUCGAGGCCAGCCUGGUCUACAAAGUGAGUUCCAGAACAGCCAGGGCUACACAGAGAAACCCUGUCUCGAGAAACCAACCAACAAACAAACAAGUCUCUUUCCUCCCAUUAGCCUCAAUUUCCUUAUCUGUAUAUUGGGAACAAGAUAACAAACUCACAGGUCUGUUAGAGCAGCAACCUAGGGCCCAGUCAUUAACACCCUGGGGCAACUGUCAUAUUCCCUGUGAUGACGCCUGCCUGUAAUUCCCAGCCCUGUGACAGCCCUUGACAUUCAGCAGGUCUUCAACUUCCUAUCUGUCUAGCUGCCCUCAGUCAGCCACAAGCUCUUAUAACCUUUCACCUUUAACCUUC